GCUGUGAACAUAUUUAGAUCAGCUGCUGCUGGCCUGACCCUUAACACAGUAAACUGAAUCUCCACUGACCCUGCCACCACUUUCAUUCAGAGAGAAGAGCUGGAGGGCAGCAGAAACCAACGCGCCAAGUCACACGUAACAACUUAACAAGAGUUUAUUUUAGAUUUGCUGACGUCCUUUCUUUGUGUGCUCAAAAGCAGACCAGAAGAGUGAUCACAACACAAGAAGACCCAUGAGCAUGCUGUACAACCAUCCUCCCUGAAAAACACAACUGGUUCAUAAAUAGAUCCUACAGAGGAGUAACUACAGGUCAUCACAUGGGUCUAGUUUUACACACUCAAGUCUGAUCCAGGGCCAGCAGGAAAACAGCAGCUGAUCUAAAUGUGAAGCUGAGCGGUUUAUCCAAACUCGAGCCAGCGGGCCUACGCACACGGAGGAGUGGAAAGAAUCCAGCACUGUCCGCCUCCUUAUCACAUAAAACAAAAGGAUCAGAUUAUUAAUGUCCCAAAGCAACAACUGCCAGGGGACAAGCUGUCCAGCGUCUGGUGUUGAUGUGUUCUGGAAUCCUGAACUCGUUCAUCCUAUGUGUUUAUGUACCGACAAUGUGCAGGUUUCAGCCGAGUCACACGAUUAAAGUUGGACAAAUAAAUUAAUCACCAUUACCUGUAAAAAAUGUGAAAUGAGAAAUAGCUGUAAAAACAAGUCUUUGGUUGAAAGUAAAUGGCUUAGAAAGUCAUUCAGAAGUAAUAAAACUAGUUUAAGCACGUUUGAAUAAUUUUAACAAGUAUGAAACUUUACUCACUCAGUCACUGUGAGAACCACAUGUCACAGGGAGCUGGUCACCAGUCACCAUCUGCAGCAGAUGCAGGGCAGGGAUACACAAACAACCGGUCACGCACUCACUCACACCUAGGGACAAUUUAGAGUCACUAA